CCUACGGGUGGCUGCAGUGGGGAAUAUUGGACAAUGGGGGAAACCCUGAUCCAGCCAUGCCGCGUGAGUGAUGAAGGCCCUAGGGUUGUAAAGCUCUUUCGGCGGGGAAGAUAAUGACGGUACCCGCAGAAGAAGCCCCGGCUAACUUCGUGCCAGCAGCCGCGGUAAUACGAAGGGGGCUAGCGUUGCUCGGAAUCACUGGGCGUAAAGCGCACGUAGGCGGACUCUUAAGUCGGGGGUGAAAUCCUGAGGCUCAACCUCAGAACUGCCCUCGAUACUGGGAGUCUUCGAGUCCGGGAGAGGUGAGUGGAACUCCGAGUGUAGAGGUGAAAUUCGUAGAUAUUCGGAAGAACACCAGUGGCGAAGGCGGCUCACUGGCCCGGUACUGACGCUGAGGUGCGAAAGCGUGGGGAGCAAACAGGAUUAGAUACCCUAGUAGUC
rnacentral:rRNA from 1 species